GCCCUACAAAGCUGACAGGGCCUCUGCUUUAUAGGUCUCAUUGGGAUGACGUUCAUGCAUUAAGUGGUUUUGGACUUGAAUUUAAUCUGUCUUAGAAGGAGGAUACAUUAACCUUGCUUGAGUCAAUGAACUGAUGGCUCCAGAGAGCCAGCUGCGGGAGGAUGAAUUAUGGUGUAGACUUGAAAAGUUAUCCGACCCACGGCCCGUGGGCUGCAUGCGGCCAGGAUGGCUUUGAAUGUGACCCAACACAGAAGGAGACAUGCAUACAAGGAGAAUGCCAGGUGAACGUGAAGACCAUCAUUUGCAAGCCAAGAGAGGCCUGGAGCAGAUCCUUCAGAGCCCUCAGAAGGGACCAACCCUGCUGGCACCUUGAUUUUGGACUUCCAGCCUCCAGAACUAAGAACUUGAUGUAUACCUCCUGACCUGUUCAUCUUGUAGCUGCCUCUUGACAGAUAUAAGAGGCCGCCCUGUAGAGGAGGAAGGAGGAAGUUGGCUGUGAUUGACCUUGCUAGGUCAUCUUCCUAAUCUUUGUCCUUUCCUGCACCCCAAAUGGAAGAUAAAAGGCAAUGCAAGAUCAGCAUCCUCAGAGACAUCGUUUUGUUUGGGUUUCAUGGAUUGCAAUUGCCAGAGAUGCUUAGGCUGCCUCUAGAGGGAAGAUGAUUGAUUGUUAACCUAUGUGGUCCAACCAAAUGUCUUAGGGGUUAUUGAUAAUUAAAAUGGACAAUAGCGAUUUUCCAUUUCUUCUGGCCUUGGGUGCUGGCAUGUGGAAGUGGUAUUGAUACUCAUGACCAAAUAGGCACUUAUCGAUUUCAGUUUUCAUAAGUUGCCUACCAAAUGCAAACUAGUAACCCAGACGUGGGAGACCUAAUAUUCCAUUGUUAAUCUUUAGGUCCAUAAUUUUUAUUUCCUCUACUUGCCUCUUCUUCCUUCCUCUGCAUAAUGAGUUGGGCUUAUAUAAUUGCACCCAUUUACUCACUCAUUCGUUCAAUCAAUUAUUUGUUCCUAUUUUAUGCCAAGUAAUGAACAGAAGGUGUUGGGGAUGCAAAACCCAACUAAUUGGAAUUUCUAUGUUACAGGAGCUUAUGCUUUAGUGAAAUUAUAGACAAAUUAUUAUACAGUUUUAAUCCAGAAUAGUAAGUGCUAUGGGAGCAUGCACAGAGGAAACAACCCAAUCUUAAGGAAUCAGGAAGGUUUGCAGAGGACUGACAGGAAAAGUGGGCAGGUGAAGAAGAUGGGCAGUGAGAGGAGGAGUGGAAGCACUUUUGCUAGGGAAAAACAUGAAUAAAAGGGAUAAUUUUCUGCUCUUACCCCUGGGUGAUCUUUGCGUGGUACUGUCCAUCACAGUUGGGAGAGACGGCUCCUCAGAGCUGCUCCACACUGUUCACAGAGGAUGCCAUUCCAAGGAAACUGGGGAAUAGGGAAAGUCUUUAGCUUAUUCCUCUUUGAGGUUUGUUUGAGAUGCAGUUUCUUCAAUAUUUUGAGUCUAUGAAAACAUGUUGUAUACUUAAAUAUAUACCACAAAAAAUAAAAAAAAUUGCGAUUUAAA
rnacentral:lncRNA from 1 species